UUCCGGUUAAGAGCAUGCUGUGCGCGAUUGGUUGUUGCUUCUCACCGGUGUGUGUUGUAAGUGACUGUGUUUAGAAUUUUGUCAUUAUAACACUAUAUGUGUAAAGUGUAUCUUUAUGUUGAUUUUAGCUUUGUUUGAAGUUAAACAGCAGGGUAUUAGAAUCAGGGAUGAAGAUGUUUAACAGUAGAAGCUAAAUUGAAGCUCUGGGUAAGACUGAACAUCUGAGCUUCAUUAGAAUUAGCUGCUAACCACUGCGCUAAGCGCUAGCUCUUUCACUGUUCAGAGUGUCCUAUGUGUACCAGGAAUACACAAUACAAGGCUAAUAUGCUAAUAUGGCUAAUAUGAUGGUGAUCAGUGGCUUCUGGCUGAAGUUACAUCCACAUUCAAUGGAAGAGACCCCGCCCACAUAUCCCACAGACCGAGGAGGACCGGGGAACUGGUCCAGGUCCUGCAGAAGCAGCUUCAGCACUUUCUGGACGGAGGUGGACACCGAUGGGAGUGUGAAAGCGCGGGAGUGUGUGUUCGGUCGGAGUGUGUUCUGGGAGUGUGAGGAGUGUGAUCUGGGAGUGUGACCAGGGAGUGCUCGGGGAGUGUGAGAGGCCAGGUGGGUCAUGGAUCAUCAGAGAUGGAGAUGCAACAAGUGGAGGUGGAAGAACCUGAGGAGCCUGACCGUACCGGCCUUCAUCACCACACUCAUCCUGGUGCUGACCACAGGAGCACGGGCAGGUAGGACCGUCCACAUACUUAUGGACAUCCUUUAGAACGUAUUCUAGAUGAUGUCUAAAUAUCUAAUCAAC
rnacentral:lncRNA from 1 species